CCUGCCCCUGACUCUGGGAUAAGCGCUGGAAACGGCGUCUAAUACUGGAUAUGUGACGUGACCGCAUGGUCUGCGUUUGGAAAGAUUUUUCGGUUGGGGAUGGGCUCGCGGCCUAUCAGCUUGUUGGUGAGGUAAUGGCUCACCAAGGCGUCGACGGGUAGCCGGCCUGAGAGGGUGACCGGCCACACUGGGACUGAGACACGGCCCAGACUCCUACGGGAGGCAGCAGUGGGGAAUAUUGCACAAUGGGCGGAAGCCUGAUGCAGCAACGCCGCGUGAGGGAUGACGGCCUUCGGGUUGUAAACCUCUUUUAGCAGGGAAGAAGCGAAAGUGACGGUACCUGCAGAAAAAGCGCCGGCUAACUACGUGCCAGCAGCCGCGGUAAUACGUAGGGCGCAAGCGUUAUCCGGAAUUAUUGGGCGUAAAGAGCUCGUAGGCGGUUUGUCGCGUCUGCUGUGAAAUCCCGAGGCUCAACCUCGGGCCUGCAGUGGGUACGGGCAGACUAGAGUGCGGUAGGGGAGAUUGGAAUUCCUGGUGUAGCGGUGGAAUGCGCAGAUAUCAGGAGGAACACCGAUGGCGAAGGCAGAUCUCUGGGCCGUAACUGACGCUGAGGAGCGAAAGGGUGGGGAGCAAACAGGCUUAGAUACCCUGGUAGUCCACCCCGUAAACGUUGGGAACUAGUUGUGGGGUCCAUUCCACGGAUUCCGUGACGCAGCUAACGCAUUAAGUUCCCCGCCUGGGGAGUACGGCCGCAAGGCUAAAACUCAAAGGAAUUGACGGGGACCCGCACAAGCGGCGGAGCAUGCGGAUUAAUUCGAUGCAACGCGAAGAACCUUACCAAGGCUUGACAUAUACGAGAA
rnacentral:rRNA from 1 species